UCGACCGUCGCGAGCUCAGAUUUUAUUCGAAUGUAUCGUAUUGAAUCGCGUGCGCACCAAUAGCAUUACCGUCAUUACAGCAUUGAAAAGUGCGCGGGUGUCCGACACGCGGAAAACGACGAGCGACGAGGCGACCGGAAAAAAAAAUAAAUAAACCCGCGAAUACGCUCCUCGUCAUGUCACCGCCGCAGCCGCAGUGUCCACACGCGUGAACGUAUGUAUAAUUACGUCUUAUAGAAAAAAAAAAACGCGCAAAACUAUCAAAAAAAAAAAAAAAAAAGAACCGUUAAAUCCCUCCUUAAAAACCCAAUCGGAGGCCGUUUUCCGUGAUUCGUCUCGUAUUUUCCCACUUAAAAUUUCAGAAAUUAUCUUUUAGUACCCACGUAAAUAUUAAUAUCCUGCCCGGGGCAUCCGUUUUAGAGCAUAGACGACCGGUGGCACCCACACGUUUUACCUAACUAACCGCCCGACUAACUCGAUUUGAGACGGGUGCCGAGUGGCGUAUUGAGCAGUAAGUAUUUUUCGUACGAGCAUUGUAUGCCUAUGUUAUAAGUACGUGAAUUAGGGGCGUUGGGAUGGGGUAUGUGAAAAGACACGUUAAACCUCACCUGUUUUAAAAGCUCGGGCGCCACUGGCCGUUUUUAGGGGCGUAAAUGACCCCGAGCUAAGACCUGAAAUAGUGGUUAAUAAUUAUUAGUUCUAUUUCGCACCAUUACUUCCCAACGUCCGAUAUCGUAUUUUUAGGUAUGGGAAAAUUUGUCGACAAAGGUCCUUGACAGUUCUCAACAUGUGGUAAGCGUACAACUAGUGGUACUCGAAAAGCUCGUAGGUGGUACGCGAAGAAAUUCGUCGACAAGUGAAAAAAAAAUGUUAUUAGACACAACGCGGUUAAUUAAUCCAUAAAUAUUAAUAAAAACAAUAACCGCGCAUAUUCGUUGCAAUUUUACUUUUUGUGUAUUAUGGUAAAUGGUUGUGUUGGUUAUACAGUUUAUAGACUAUAUCGUGCCAUACGUGUAAAAUAACGUGCAUGUUUUAUUUGUUGAUAAGUAGAAAAAAAAAAAAAGUCCAAUAAACGUAUGGAGUGAUACGUGCGAAAAAUGUCAAAACGUGUUACGCGGAUAUUACGGGGUUGAGAACUGCCCGUCCGGGUUGUUUAAAAAUUCGAUUUUCACGCAAUACAUAAUACGCAAAUGACAUACGGUUAAUUUCGGUUAUCAUCGUUCUUGAUCAGGUUUCGGGGGCGGGGGGGGGGGAACGGAAUUUCGACGAAAAACGAGCGGGAAUACAAGCGCGUUCACGACGUAUUGUGAAACCGCGUGUACGACGAUCGUCCGUCCGUCCGUCCGUCCGUUAUUACACGACGGCGACGAUGUUAAGCCUGCGGCGUAUUUUUAGGCGGCGCGCGCGAGAAAGCGUAAAAUAACAGCGCGACGGGCGGAACGGAGCCGGUACGGUUUUUCCACCGGGCCGAAAACACUCGGUCCUCCCCUCCACCCACCCCCUCGGAAUAUCAAAACCGUGAUCUCGUCGUUUGUCUCGCACCUCUCGCCCGCCCACCGACCAUCGCGCCGAACCCCGCGCCGCACGUCGACCGUUCGUCGACGAUGUUCCGCCGGACGAAUUCGAUUCGGUUCAGUCGCCGUCGCCCCCCCCCCCCCCCAUCACCCGCGAUCCGGCCGUUUUACACUGUCCACGCGAUUUCGUUCCGGCGAUUAACGGCCCGAACGCGCGCGCGGUCGCCGACGACAGCAACGGUCUAUGAAUCGUUGCUGUCUACUGUGCCGACCGUGCUCGGCGAGUAGUCGCAGUCGGAAAGUUCACAAUCACGGGAAAACGCGGUAUUUUUAACGGUUACAUUACGAGGUGUUCCGCAGACAUGUACAGCCAUUGCAAUAUCCCGGAAAAGUACCGGGUCACUCGUCAAAUGGCCCGUGAAUAGAUGGAACACAUUGGUUAAAAUACAUUUUCACGAUUUCUGUUAAGACGUCGACGAGAUAUGCCACUUUUGAGUUUUUUGGUCGGAGGAGAGUAGUGGCGCGCGGGAGAAAACAAACAUUUCAACACCAGCAAUUAUUUUGACUAGGCAUUCGGUACAGGUUUCCAUUUUAAAAUCAAAAGUCGGUAGCCGUUUCACUCCCGAAAAAAAGAGUGAAAAAAAAAAGUAAUGUAGCGUCUCGGAACUCGGAAACAGAAGAAAUAACUCACGGUUACGGUUCAAUAGGUUAUAAUAGUAAGUUAUUUCACGUGCUUUACCAUAGAGUCGAAUAUGAUAUCGAAUUAUUUAUCACAGGUAUACGUGUACUACUGGUUUUUACGAACAAAACAUAGAACCACUCUAAAUCUUGUGAUUUUAAAGAGUAUAAACGCGCCGUCAAUUUUAUUAUAGGUUAUCAUUCGCAAAAAGAUAUUGGUUUGCCCUAUAUAGUAAGAGUGAAAAAAAGUUCUAUACAUACAAUAAUAGAAAAACGUGUAUCUAACAUACUUUGAAAUCGUGCUUUAUUGACGUUAAUUCAAUCACCCUGUACAGGAGUAUAAAACUAACGAAAUAAGUAUAGUAUUCUAUGGCACGAUAAUGUAGGUAUUUAUUUCUUUUUGAUUCGCAUAAACGACAAUUUUUACUACUGUUAUUUAAACGAGGUUCAUGAAAAACACGACAUAAAUCAUUAUACUAUGCGUGUAAGCACCAAAACUUGAAAAUAAUAAUAAAUACUUAGUAAAAAUGUAAUACAAAACGAAAAUGCUUGAAAUAUGCGGAACAAAGUAACUUAAAACUUAACUUUUAUACUAUUUGGAAUAAAUUCUGCUUUUGUAAAUAUUACAAUAUCGAAAUUAUAAUCGAUAAACUACGUUGCAUAUAAAUUUAUACGGAUUUUAAUUUAAUUUUAGAUAAAUAAAAACAAUUUCCGGCAUACGAAAACUCUGUGUAGAGUAUCUAAUAAAAUCCCAACUCCGAAAUUGUAAGUAUUUCAUGAGAAUUCUCUACGGUUAUUUAUGACAAAAAAAAAAAAAAACCUAUUUAAAUCCCCUCCCCACCCGUUUUGUUUAUUUUCACUAUAGGAAAAAAAAGAACAAAAGAACUGCAAAAAAUUAGCGUGUCCUAAUUUAAAAAAAAAAAAAAUAAAUAAAAUCUUCACUCGGCCAUCGGUGUUUUAGCUAUAAAGUCUCGUCCGAGAUUCAAGAAUCUAUUCGACGUUCGAUUGUUGGUGUUUUUUCUACAUAAAUAUACUUUUUUUUAAUUUAGAUGCGUUCUCGAGCUCGUCAAUUCGUACGAAAUUAUCUCGCGUGUAUGCGUUUGUAUUUUUUUCGUUUUUCCACAUUUCACAUUUCAUUGGCAUUCACUAUUCUUGAAAUAUUAUGUAUUAUAUUUAUUAUUACAACGACGUUUCGUCGUUUUCGUCGAGACUACUUACCUAUCAAUUUGUUUAGCAUUUUUUUUUUUUUUUUUUUGCCCUAUUUACUCCUCCACGUUCACAUUUACCGUAUCGUUUCGAAACACGGUUGUUUUUAAAACUUGUAUCAUUUUAUAUUGACGUGAUACAAGUCCAAAAAUACGAAAUUCGCACAUUCAAUUCUGAAAAAUUCCAAUUUUAGAUUUUAUACUUAUUUGUUUUUUCGAAUUUUUAUUUAUACUAAAUUUAUUUCUGAUAAUGAUAAGAUUUUUAAUUGUGUGAAAAAUGCUUACAAGAAUCCAUAGUCAAAUUUUCAAAAUUCAAAACUAGAAUUUUAAAUACAUUUUCGAUUUCAGAUUCCGGAAAUCCGGAUUUUUCCCAUACUAGUGAAGUAUUUCGAAGUAUUAAUCAAUAUCAACAUAAAAUAAAUUAUGUUAUAUAAUAGCUAAAAAACACCAAAAUCAAAUUAACGUGAAUUCUUCGUAUAGAUAAUCGCUCUCGAUCGUCCAAACAAUGAUCGUUAGUUUCGAAAGUUUAUAGUAAUUAACAUAAUAAUUAUCCGGAUUGACUUGCUUUUUUGUUAUUAAUCUAUCACUUUUAACCAUUUAAAUAUAUAUUUUAUCGGCGCAGUUAAGAUAAUUUAUUCAGUUUCGAAUCGAAAUCGUCAAGGCUUCGAGGGUUAAUUAAUUGUCAUAGUUUUUUAAAUAAACGAUUCGACAUAUUAUAUUAUUUAAACGAUUAUGUAAUAUUGUUUUUUGAAGGUUCCGUUACAAAAAAAUACAAUUUCGUUUUUAAAUAGACCUAAUCUAUCGUUGUAAUGACUCCGACAAAAUUAUUAUAAAAUAUUAUGUUACACAAUAUUAUUAGCUUAUAAAAUAUAACAAUCAUUUACUUCUCGCAGCUGGUUUUUUCACAAAUAACAAAAAAGAGUUUUAUCAUAAUGGUACUGGUGCCAAAGUAUAUAAUGACAAUACAAACAAUUAAAAAAAAAAAAAAAAUCUGAACGGAAAAACGUUUAAUAUGCCAUCUCGAAAAAAUGGAAUUUUUGACGAUAAUACACAGCACUUAAUUAUAUUGUUUAAAAAGUUUUGAAACAUGCUAAAAACGUAUUAUUAUGUUUUAUAAAUGUAUAUUUCAACUUUUUAGCAUACGUACAUAAACUAAAAUACGUAACCGUUUUAGACUGUAAUAACGUUAUAUGGUAUUGUUAUGAUUCCGUUUAGAGUGUUUUAUGAACUUUUAAAACGAAUGCGAAAACAUAAAAUGAAAAAAUAAAUAAAAGAAUUUUGCGGUAUGUUCCGCAGUCAUUAUUUCCUCGGGAGGUACCGUUAUUGUCUAUUGUUAUUAUUACUAUAAAAUACGAAUAGAAUUUCUGGCCAUCGUCUAAAGCAAUCAACUUCUAAUUGCGCUCAUUUUUCGGUUCGUUGCAUCGAAGCACGCAAUAAUAAUGUCCCGUAGCUCGGUAUAAAAUCUUUUUAACGAAAACUCGUACGGUUUCAAAAAUCUAAACGAACAAAAAAAAAUCUAAAAUCACGUUAAUAUAAUCCCACCCCCCGAAAUUUCUUCCUCUUCACAAAAUGUUUUUUUUAAACUUUUGUACAAUUAAAAAAUCAUCUGCAAUGAUCAUGGGCUAAGAAAGGUACAUGUAAGACAAAUAUAAAAAUGGGAAUUCAGGACAAUUAUUUUGUAUUUGAAUGUUAGUAUCAUUUACUACUUUAGCUAUAGAGUAGGGGGUAUGAAGCGAACCCCCUCCCUACAGGUCUGAAAUAAAUCUAUAGUGAAAAUCCUAACCGAACUUAAGUCCUGCGUACGCUACUGGUGGAACUGUUGUAGAUUCAAAUUUGUUUCUCGACAAAUUGUGCAGACGAUACGAACCGUCGUGAAAUAUAUAACCGUCUAGGCGAAACUCUUUAGAAAAAAAAAAAGUUCUCUAAAACUUUUACGGAGAUACCUACGUCGUCUCUUAUCAGCUAUCCGAUACAUUAUUAUUUGUAGCUAUGUUCGCUAAAGAGAACGCACUCGACCCGAGAUGUGUUUUGGGGUCCCAGACAGAAUCAAUUUUACCCCGGUACCAUAUCGGCGCUCCGCGUAUAUAUAUUACGGACGAUUCGUAUCUUAAUCACCCCCCCCCCCUUUUUUUUUUUUGUUCAUAAUAGUACGGAAGUUAUUAAUUUAACCCCGAGCGACGAUUUUUUUUAUUAGAAAUCCGCGUUAGUUUUGAAACUACAAUAAUAAUAUUAUGAUUCCCGAAGAGACCCGGUCGUGUUGUUUAACGAUACGCAUUUUAAGAUAAGACAUAAUUGCAAUAGAAUAAUUAUUUCGAUGAAGAUAAAAAAAGACGCAUACCGAUUUAAUUGUCCAAGUUAAAGAUUAAUAAUUAGGUAUGGCGUAUUUUUGCCAAGAUAAAAAAAACAAAAUAGAUUAUCUUACCUAACGUAAAUUUAAUCGCUUUACGUCUUUACAUGCAGUUAAAUUAUAAUUUCAAUAAAUUUCAACGAGUUCGUGCGAGAAACACGUCGGUUUCGCUAUGACGUGUAACAUUUUAAAAUGUUUUUUUCUCCCUUCAUAAAAUUUUUGAAAAUCUCUUUCCGAUCAAAACAGAACGAGAGAAGUAUAUUGAUUUUCCACGAGUAGUUUACGUGGCGAUUCGAUAUUUUCUAGGUUUUCAAACAAAAGGUUGAAACAAUUCGUAUUAUAAUAACCGUUGUCUCAUAAAUAAAUUCGAUUGUUUACCGGUGAGUUCGUUUACGAUUUAAAAUCGCGUAGGAUUAAUGUAAAAAUGUUUCUCAGACAUCUAUUCGAAUCCGUUGAUUUUCGAUCAUUUUACAAUUUUCGAAUUAAAAUAUUAAUUUAAAAAUCUACCGCGCGGAUCCGAUUUUUGUCGCGUUUUGUUUUUCCACGGUAAAUUUAAUUCGAACAAUACCGCGAAAUUAUUUUCGUUAUAACGGUCCAGAAAGAAUAGUAAAUAAUAUUAAGACAUCGCGAACAAAUUAGAAACUAAAAAAAAAAUCCGUAUUAUUCUUUUAAGUAUGGUAAUUAAAACGAGUUUUAACAAAAUACUUUACAAAGGUAAAACGAGCAUAAAGGUUAAAAAUAAUUUUACCUCCUUAACAUUUUGAAUACUUUUAAAACUCGUUUUUACAUACACUCGGUUUUGUCGUCAUCGACGAAGUCGCGCAGUAAGUUCGCAGCGCCGUUUCGUAAUAUUAAAAAAAGGCCGGCGUUAUUUAGUUAACCGUGAAAAUUCGAGAAUUCCGCGGCAGUUUUUAAUAAACAAUAUUUUAAUAUUCACACUUUUACGACCGGUGCGAGAUUUUCUCCGCGAAUAUUAUUAUUAUUAUUAUUAUUAUAUGUAUAAACAUAAUAUAACACAAAUAUGUAACGCGUUAAUAAUAAUAUAUAUAUAUAUAUAUAUAUAUUAUUAUUAUUUUGUUUUUAUUUCGUGAAAAUAUCGACGAAACGCGUUAUCGGGGUAGCAAGGGGGUGGGGGAUCGGGGGAAAUAUUUGUUUAAAAAAUAAUGUAAAUGAAAACUCUUCGAAAAUAUAUUUCGUUUUGAGCUCGUUCGUUUCGGUUUUGUGCGUAAUAAUGGCGCGCGGAACAAGAAUAUUAUUAUAAAGCAAUCGUUAACGUUAUUGAUGGGUUUUGUGCGUUAAUAGUGUUAUUAUUUUGAUCAUAGACGUCGUUUACACAAAUAAAACGUAUAUUACGUCUAAUGCACGUUAAUAACUCGUUAAAUUUCAGUUGUCUUUCGCGGGGCACCGCCGAUUAAAUCAUAAAACCCGUUCGUGGGUGUUAUAAAUUUUGACUAUAGCGUCGGUCGAUGACGUUCCGUGAAACGUGUUUAUGGAACGGAUAAAAUUUAAGUGUCCGUUGACAUAAAAUUCCUACAGCCAACAACGUUGGCAACUCGGCUCGUGCGUCGAACGAGAAAAUACGAAUGCAAAUGCGAAAAUGAACCGAAGUUGGAGGUAAAGGGGUUAUUCGAUUUAUUUCCGUACUGUACUGUGAUAAUGGAAUUAUUUUAAUGCAACUGCCAAUUGAAUAAUCUGAUCCUGAGCGGAGUUUGGUUAUAAUAUAUUAUGUUGACAAACGUCAUAAUUUUCACUAAUUACCUACGUCUCGUAUCAUGAAUAUAGUAUUCAAUUUUCGAGUAUUUCCGUUUAGCCAAAGCAAUUUUAUUCACAUAAAACCAAAUAAUACCCCACAAAUUGUGAAAAUGUUUUAAACAUUUUAACUAUAUUAUUAAAAAAAUCUUGAAAUCUAAAACAACAUUUCUGGUAUUAAAUCAAAAUCAAAAAUCUGUCCUAGGAUAACGGGGACGGGUGCAGCCACUGUUAAAGAUAUUUUUAGGUAUAUUUUUAUAAGCGCAACGAUAAAACAAUGUUAAAGAAAAAACGAUUUUGAGUGGAGUUCGGUUGACAAUGCUGGUUUGUCAACUAUAUAAAUGUCAUAUUAUGGUAAAAUAAUUACAUAUGCAUUAUAUAUUUUCAUCGAUAAUAUUUGUGUAAUUUUGUACCUAUUUUCCCAUUUUCCCUUCGGUUUUUCCCAUUUUUUGGGAAAACUCCUAAGAAAAUCAAAAAAAUUACCUUCCUAUUGUACCUUCUCAAUCAUAUAUCCUUUUACUAAAAGUGCUAUCAUUGUCAAUCGGAUCGAGUUUUCUGGUAGAAAGCCGUACAAUAAGCUUCAUCGCGUCACUCAAUUGUAGAAAAGUGCUUUAUAGACGGACAAAAUUUGAAAUUGCACACGUCAUAUUAUAACCAAAACACAUGUCGUUCUACUCACGGAAUCUAAAAUACUCGAUACAAAAACGCAAAUUUGAAUUUGGCAAGUUAUUACAGUCGUCUACUGUACGAGAGCGUUUUAACAACAAUAACGCGUAUUGAUAACAAACGGUUUCAUCUCGAGAUGAAAACAAUCGAAAUCGAAUCCACCGUGAAUCGUUGUCCGUCAGAAAAGAAUCGCUCUGUACGACGAAUGUCAUUUUGAGCUGGCGUUAUGCACGCUGCAUACGCGGUUCGGACGUCGGUGGCGAUUUUGUAUUCGUUUCAGACGCGCAUUUCCGGUCGGGCGGACGGAAGUGUCUGGGAAUUUUCGGCGGCCGACUGGGGUUUCGGCGAACUUCGGUCGCCGUCCGGCGUGCUCGAGAGAGGCCACGUGCCCACGUGUCCACGUGCCCACGUUGGGCGGACUCGCUCCGUUUCGGUUUUUACCGACAUUCUCCCGAUAUCAAUACAGUUGAAUAAUGUUAUAGCGUUUCGCGCUGCCUCCCCUCCCCCCUCCCCGCCGUCGCGGUGUUAAUAACAAUCGCGCAAUAAUUAAUUGUUGCAUAAUCGUAAAUUAACGGUUUCCGGCAAGGAUUCAGCUACACGCGUAUGUGUAUAUUAUACAUCUCGGAAACGCGUCCCCCGGUCGUUCGGCCUGCACAUUCCCGUGAAACCCCCGCGUCAGUGUAGUGCUGCGUGCCGGCGACCGGUGCGCUUGCCGACAAACACGCCAUCAACAAUGUUCGCACAAGUAGCCCGCGUGUACCGGGUGUUCCGCUCGAAUGGGCCCGCUCGUUAUCUCGGGAAUUGUUAAAAAAAUUUUUCGGAAAUCCUUUUCCGGAACACGUGAAAAACGAGCGACUCUGCAGUUACAUAGAGUUAUGAUAAUUUUUUUCUCGCCCAUAAUUUCGGCGGUAAGACCCACUACCCGCUUUUGGUUUUCGGAUGGAAACCUAUUCCGAGAAAAAUUCCAUAAGUAGACGGCCUAUCAGAGAAUAUUAAUUUUAGUGUCGAGAAUUUUGGUUUCCGUCGAGCCGUUGACGUGGGACGCCAAUAAAAUACCGGAAAUAAAAACAGCCGGACAGUAAAAUUUCAGGAAUCAAUAUUCCGGAAUAACAUAUAACAAGAAAAUAAUACGCAUGGGAUCGCGACGAAUUGAAAUUUAUGUUUACGGAACGUAAUUACGAGAGAGAAAAAUAAAAAACAACGUAAAUUUACCGGAAUUAAAUAAAUCUGAUCGCAAAAUGCUCAGCAUGUAGAUUCGUUUCAAUUCCAUGCAUAUUGUUUUCUAGUUAUUCAUAGUCCAAAAUGUGAGUUUCCGAACUGAACUUUCAUUUUUUUUUUAUUUUGUUCAUUAGUUUUAAGUUUCAAACAGAUUACUUUCAGUGUGUUUAAACUCUAUUGAUUUGACGGUCCGGGAAUUUUAAACGUAUUUUACUUUCUAUUUUAAUUUUUCUUUCUUUCAAUUUUGUAAUUCGGCAUAGUAAUAGUCCGUAGUUUCAACAUUCCGGUUGUUUUAUUUCUGGUAUUUACGGCCUCCCUUUGACGAGAUAUUCCACUUUAAGUUUGGUUUGAAGAAGGGUAUAGAAGUACAUUAUUAACACGCUGCACGCCCUACCGCCACACAAAUGGUACUUCGCUCCUCUCCUCCAACCCAAACUUAAAAGUGGAAUAUCUUGUCAACGCAACGCAUUAACAGAAAUCGAAAAUUUCAACAGUAACGUUUAUUUUCACUGAUAUUUAAACUCGACCGCAGGAAUUCUGGCCGACAAAGGGAUUUAAACGGCCUAGUUUUUCGUGGCGAUUAGGAAUCAAUUGUGGUCAAUCGAGUCACUACGAGGAUCCGGAACUGGGAAUCCAGGUGGCCAAACACAGACGACCCGGGGGAAUUUGGUCGAUAGGGUAUCUAGGCGAAACGUUACAUUCCGUCAGUGUUUUUCACAAAUCUCUGUGUACUCAAUUCACUUUCAAAUGGUUUUUUUUUUUUUUUUUUUAACGACUGCAAUUUAGUUUUAAACGAUUUAUCGAUCAAAGGCCGCAGAUAACGAUGCUUUUAAAAAACGUGUUUGUCCGCCAAUUGCAUUAUGAUAUUAGUUAUUUUGUCUCUCGUUACGCGCAAACGCAUUUCUGAAAUUUCCCAGCACGAUGCGAGGUUUAACGGAACGUUAUAUUUUCGAUAUUCAACGAACAUUCGAGUAUAGUAUUUCAAUACAAUAUCGUUAUACGCACGAUUAUAAAAAAGGUUGAGUUCGAGUGUGUUAUUGUGAAACAAACUUUCAAAUAAUAAUAUUAUAAUAAACGGACGUCGUCAGCGAUUCCGAAAUUUGACCGAUGAUGCGAUUAUUUCCGCGUAGUUCAUUGUACCGUACGAGUAUGUUUUAUUAAAUUAAUAUACAUUUCGAUAACGCGUAACUUUGGCAUCGUCGUCGCAUAGAGUAUAAAGAACGGUUAGUUUCAACUAUAGUUUCAACGUAAGCUGCUGCAUUCCUGCAAAGCAGAUAUUUUAUCUACGUCCCGCGAAGUAUGUCUUAUAUGACAAUACGGUUUCUGCGGUUAAUUGUUUCGUUAGUAUUUUUUUUUUAAUCGUCGCUAGAGCACGGAUAUUGUAGUAGUAAAAAACUAUUGAAAUUGGCUGCAGUAUUUCACUAAAAAAGAUUGAAAUUGCACUGAAAAUAUUAAAAAUUGCAGUAAAAACUAACAGGUUAAAAAAAAAAAAUGGAAAUAAUUUUCUUAAUUUUCGGUAUAUUUACAAAAUAAUAAUAAUCACUCAAAAUUCACGGAGAUUAAAACAGUCAAACAGUCACUUUUCACAAAUUGAAAUUCUUGUAUUGAAUUGAAUACCUACCAACUUGGAAUUAUUAUAAUAAAAAUAUGAUACUAUUAUUAGAUUUUAUAGCUGGCAAUAUUAUAGUAUAAUCUUAUCUAUACGAUUGUCAAGUGACUAUAGCUAAAUUAGCUAUGUAAUUGUGUAAAUUCAACGAAAUUGCAAAAAUUGCAAAACAUUGCACUUAAAACUUCUUGAUUUGAAUUCGCACUUACAUGAAACGUAUUUAAAACUUACUUAGCAAUAAAUUGAAAAGGUAGUAAAAAUGUUGCAAAUGCAACAACAUCCGUGCCCUAGUAAUAUUAUAAUACUUUUAUUUUGUGUGUAUUAUUAUGUUGCAUUAUUUUUAUUAUUACAAUGUUUUAUCAUUGCGUUGAGUUGAUAAUGAUUUUUAGUAAACAAUAUAUAUGCCAUAUUAUCGUAAUAUAAUUAAAUAGGCAUUAUAUAUUUUAUUUAAUAAUAUUUAUUUAUUAUUGGACCGAUCUUUCCGUUUUUCCGUUUUUAUACUUUUUUUUUCGGGUAUUUUAUAUUUGCUGGAAUAGCUCUUGGUAAAGUCAAAAAUGACCUCCUUACAGAACCUUUCAACAAAAUUUUCUUUCAGAAAAGUUGCUACGGCAUAUACAUCGGAGUGAGAACCCUGGUAGAAAAGUCGUCCACAGAUAAAACAAUUGUAAAACUAUAAACUUCUUCAACCCACUCAGAAUCUAAAAUGAAAGUUAUGUGUUAUUUUUGAUAGGGCCAUAAACAAAUUUUAUCUAUAAUUUGAUAUAUGUCACCCAAUGUAUGGCGCCCAAUAAAUUCAAAAUCGUCGUCGUAUGAAAAGCAAUGUCACAGAUGCAUACCAAAUGUUUAAGAUACCGGACUCUGACAUUUUAUUGUGUAUGGGUCUUUGAAGCCAAAUAGGUUGGGCAAUGUUUACAAUCCGGUGUUGUCAAUAUUGGCAAAAUUAUUAUGACGUCAUCGAUUGACGCUGAGAAUGAUAAUAUCGACUUGUAAACAUCGCCCGAUAUGCAUUGCAAUAUGGCUGUUGGCCUCGAGUACGGGCAAGCCGGUAAGUGACCGUGUAGCGCGUACGGUAUGGUGCACGCGUAUCCGCGAGCGACGUCUCGUGCACGGUCGUGUUAAAUAACGCGACGCGACGGCGAAACGGAUAAAACACCUGGCCGCCGUCGCCGCUGCGAACGUGUCCGGGAUCCCGGGAUAAUUGCUGUGAAUUUCCCGUCGGCAGGGACGACGGACGGACAGGCGAUAAUUGCCUACGCGUUACGGGAACGGGCGGAAUAUUCCGAACGCCGGGAAACGCACUAGACGCCGCGGGUGCAUGCGGAUUUCGUACCGUCGGAAUUCUCGUGCCCCUCGCCGCCGUGUGCGUAAAAACGCGCGGACGCGAACGUCACACUCGCGCGGCGGGCGUUCGCGAGACGGGUUUAGCGCCGGUCGGGGUCGGUCGAUCGCGUUUCCGGGAUGCCGCGGCGCCGCCGCCCGGUCCGACUUCCGACCGCUGCCGCGGCCCCGCGACGAGUGUCGUUUUACGCGUGUAUUAUUGUUAUCAGUAUUGUUAUUAUUGUUGUUAUUACUAUUAUUACGAUAUUAUCGUCGUCGCGACCGAGCGUUCUCGAUCGCGCAUUACGUUCCGCGGGCGCUCGAUCCCGUACGUACCGUUAUCGUCGCGCCCUUGACGUCCCGCUUUUGACGUACGGUUGUUUUUUUUUUUUUUUAUAAUUUUUUAUUUUCCUACCGUUUAGGUUCCGAGCGGAGCUAGAGCGAUUUAUCCGUUCGACAAACUUUUCUGGUACGGCGAUUUCGCUGUCCGAUUUUCGGGUACCGCGGCGCUUUUUCCGAAAGGAAAUCCGACCGGGGCCGCGCACAUUCAGGAGGCCGUUUUUCGAUUUUCCCGGGAGUUUAUCCGAUAAACUGAGGAGGGGGGGAAACACGGAAAAACGAGAAAAUUUACGAAAUAUACUGUUUUCGAUUUUUUUUUCUUUAGAUUUGAUUCCGUUAAAGAUAAUUGUAGUGACUUGAAGUUUGGACAGCCUUUCCUAGACGUGGUGUAAUAUUAAAUUGUAGCCAUAUUUGAGCUUUUUAUAGAUAUUUUUGUUUUACGGGGAUUUUCAAGUAAAUUUUAUUCGGUAGGUACCUACACUGUGGAUAAAAAGUUUAGACAAACAGAAAUGCUUAACAAUUUAAAAGGAGGUUCAUUUUAUUUUUUACUUAUAGUGGUUAACAAGAAAAAAAUGAGUCGAAUGCAAUAUAUUUUUUAUUUUUUUUACAAGAAUUUCAAUAUCAAAUUUUGACGAAUUGCGACCUUUUAAACACGUAUAACCGAACUCUGCUCAGAAUCGUUUUUCAUAAACAAAGAUUAAUUGUUACGUACAUAUAUACAUUAAAUUCCUGUCUAUAUAUUACCUUCCCAAAUUCUGACACGUAACAGCGGCUAGCCCGUCGUGCGAAAUAUGUCCGUCUUUUGUUUUUGGUGUUAUCGUAAAACGAUUUGGUGUACAUACCACGUGCGGCGAACGUAUCCUGAAUACAAUUGUAUUGCAUACACGAUGCGCCGUCUUACAAUAUUAAAAACCAUAACAUAAAAAAUAAAACGCACAAAAAAUGCCGAUUCUGGUAUAACAAUGUUGCAGGCAGGGAUUCUGGAAAAUGAAAAGUAUUAGAGGAUAGGUAUUCGGUUUGACAUAUGUUGAUAGAUUUAUUAUUAAAAUUGUAAAUAUCUAUUAUAAGUAUUUGUAAACGGAAAAUAAAUUAAAAUCUUUCUCGUUUUUAAAAAAUUGCAUCAUUUUGUACGUUAAACGUAUAUGACGAUAAUAUAACAUCAUAAUAUCUAUCUUUCGUUGUUCCAUAUUCCCACCAACAGUAGUUCUUUUUUUUUUUGUGUUAUUUAUAUUAUUAAUUAUUAUUAUUCCAUUACAAGUGCUGAAGUGUGCCGCGUGCAGCAAACAUCGCAAAUGCAUUUUAAUGCAGUUAUAUUGCGUAUACAACGCGCCGUCUUGCAAUUUUUCCAAUCAAAAACUGUAGAUAUAAUACACAAAAGAUAAAACAUAAAUAAAGCCGAUUCUUGUAAGACCCUGUUGUAGAUGAAAAGUUGGAAAAGAAAUUAAGUUAGAGAUGUGUAAAGCUGAAAAUAGUAUCCUCUUCCCUAAACACACAUUUAACAUAUUAUGGUUAAUUUCAUUUUUAAAACCAAUAUUUUACAACCACAUCAAUUCGUCUACAAAAUAAAACCACUUAUUCCCUAGUGUUGAACUCUUUUAGCCUAGAAAGAAUGUUUAAAAGUAUUUUAAAUGUAAGAUGAGAAAAAAAUAUUUAAUAUCGCAAAAUCAAUGCUGUAAAAUGUUUUUUAUUUUCGAGGAAUAUCAGACAAAAUAUUGAUUCACAUAAAAAGAAAUUGUCUUUGCAUGAUAAUUGAUAUUUUGGUUUUACGAAUCGUAAGAAGAAGUUAGCCGAACUAUAUAAUGGUUGUUUUAUUUAAAUUUCUGAUCUAUGUUUGAGUAAAUAUUAUCCUGAAUCGAUUUAAAAACAAUUGAAUUUUUACAGAUAAGUGCGAACACGCACCGAAUAUCAAACAUGUAUAGGUUCGUUUGUCCUAGCUAAUAUUAUUGCAUUCUCGUGAAGUUGGUUUUAUGAUUUUAGAAUUAACAAUUUCAUUUUUAUGUCACAUGUUAUUAAAAUUAACAAAUAAAAUAAUAUAAGUACGUUGUAUUUUAGCAAUUAUAGUUAUUUUAAAAUUGAAUUCGAGCUAUUAUACACUUUUUUAAAUUUCAUAUAGUAUUAUAAAAAGCCAGCUAACUAUAUAAAGAACAUAAUUACAUUACGGAUCGCAAAGAACUGUUUUUAAUUUUACACAGUCGAAAUAUAUAUUAUUUAAAUAUAAGCGUUAAAUAAUUUAGGCACCUCAAAAACUUCUGUUAAACUUAUUUAGAAAAAGAAAAGAUCAACUCAACAAUAAAAUAUUUAAAUUAGCGUUUUGACGAUAAUUUGAAUUCAGGUAGAACGUUGGUUUUUUUUUUUUGGCUUUUUGUAUUCAUUUAAGUAAAAUUCUUAUGUAUUAACUUUAAUGAUAGACUAAAAAAUAUAUUUUUUCUAUUAUAGACAAUCAAUUUUUCCUAAUAUUACAUAUAUUACAUAAAAUAAUAUCUAUAAUCAUAGAAUUAUUGUUUUACAAUAUUUUGCGUUAAAAAAAAAAAAAUUACAUUGGCUGAUUUUUAUGGCAAACCUAAUUGAAAAACGUCUUAUUAUUAUGAUUGUUUAUUGAAAUUUUUUUUAAAUUUUUUGUUUUAAAUUUUGUAAAUUGAAAUUUGCCGUUAACGUAAUAAUUUUAAGUAUUAAUUGCUCAUACUAAUCAUUUUAGGUAUACCGGGAUUUCGAAUUGUCAUGUAUAACGUUUAUCGCAUGCGAUUGGUUUCGAAUGGUAGAAAGUUUUAGAUUUUUGGCGCGAUAAGAAAACUUAAUUAGUUUCCGGAAACGUUAGACGAACAAAUAAAAGCUCUAAACUGACUGCAUCGUUCAGAACAUGUGUUUCCUCUAUUGCCCCUUAUAUUUUCUUCUUUUUCUUUUCAUUUCAUUCCGGCUCUCCAAUUAGCAAGAGCUAGGAGUGGUUCCGAUUUAAGCAGUUUAAUUUUUUUUUCUUACCACUACAAAGACGAGUUACCUAUAUGCAUUUACAGCGUAGGUAAUGCUUAUGGUUAAAAUGUUAAUGUAAACUAAUUUCAAUGGAAAAACAUUUUUUACGAAGAAAAAUGUGGCAAUCAUCCAAAUCACGCAUUGGUUUAAUCGGCGUACCUUUACAUAUUAUCGAUACAUCAAAACAUCCGAGUAAACACUCUACAUAGUCUGGCAUUUGAAGUAUUGUUGUAAAUAUAAUAAUAUUUUGGCUAUUUAAAGCGUAACGAUGUGACGUUAUAGAAACACAGAUAAUAAUAGACAUAGUAGGUGAAUCAAACUAUAUAACUAUAAGUAGACGGUUGACUCUACAAGUAAAUCUGAAGCGCGGCAGCUGAAAAUAACUGAGAGGCAAAAUUGUAUUGAUUAACCAGUGAAAUAUUUAUUUAUUCCGUAAAUAUUUUAUCAUAAUGUGAUAUAUAUAUUUUAUGUGACUAUAUAUACCUGAUGAUCGUAUCAUCAACGGCCUUAACAUGUUAUUAUUUCAUGAGCUAGCUAUAAAGUUAGCCAGUUAAACCGAUUUGUAAAAAUAGAGUUCAAGUUACAUAUUUCCAGGAAUACUAGUUAGGUUGGAAAUGAAUAGUCGCUUUUUUAAAAUUAGCCUUUUUUCUAUACAGGUAUAAUGAAUCGAAUAUUUUGUUUUUAAUUAAGUUAUCAUAUAAUGCUCGUUAUUCCUCCAUCGGUUGCAUGUUUGUCUUGUUAUAUAAUAAGAUAAAAAUAGGUAUAUUUCGUCAAAUAAUGAAUACAUACAACAAAGAUACAUUUUUUUUUCAUAAAAUAACUUUUUAGCUUUUUACUACACAGCUUUAGUUAGUCAUCCAGAUAUACUAUAAUUAUUGGCUUUCUAUCAUUAUUAUAAGUCUAUAAUGCAAUCAGGUAUACAUAGUAGGAUCAAAAAGUUCCUGGAAUACUUGAACUGCGCUCCAACGGAGUGUCCAAGAGCAGUAGGAUCGAUAUCACUGGAUUCUGAAUUCUUCGGAGAACAUCUGUAUUUGUAGAUUCUCUAUAACUUUCUUUCUUUCGAUGUGACCGAUGUUUUCUUAAAAUAUUUUUUUUGAAUUUGGCGAUUUUGUGAUAUAUCCAAAAGCAGAGCUUUUGAGGAGGAAGGGAGGAGGAUGUUGGUUAGAGAAGAUUAUUCUUUCAUGUAUAUGAUAACAUAAUAUUAUACACGUAGUGAUUAUUAUUAUGUUAAAUAUUCAAAAUGUUUUUUAGUGAUUAACUGUACCAAAAAGUUCCUGAUUAACCUGAACUUGGACCUUCGUCCACAUUCUCGAGAAAAAGUUUCACUCUUCACAUCUGCAGUUUUUCAGUUGCAAUUUGUUGGCAAAAUUCCUGUGAAACGUUGCAUUCCUCUACCAAACAAGAUUCUGUCAAAAAAAAAAUAGAAGGAAAAAUCUUUCCAACUCCUCCCCCCUCCCCCCUUUUUAAAGCUAAAAAGCUUUUCUUUUAGGUUUAUUACAAAAAUCGUCACAGAAUCCAGUGGUAUCAAUCUUACUGCUCAUGGACACUGCGUUGGCGCGCAAUUCAAGUAUUCCAGGAACUUUUUGAUCCCACUACGUACAUAGUUUAAUAUUUAAUAUAUUUAUAUAGGGGGUAAACUAAACGUUUUGGUAUAGAAAUAGAUGAAAAUGAAGUAGUGUUAUAGUGAAAUGCGAUAGCUUAAAAUUUUUAGUGGGUCUGGAUAAAAUGUGUUUAAAUUUAAGAAAAAUUAAUUCUCACUGAAAUUUGUUUUUUUAUCUACGAAUACUAGAAUACUAGAAAUAAUUAUUAUUGUAGUAUAAAUCAUUACAACUCUAAGAUUUUAAAACAAUUUUAAAAAUCACAAUAAAAUAUUAUAAGUAACUAUUAAUAUUUAAAGUUCAUCUAUGCCUAAGACAAACUCUUGAAAAUAAAAAAAAAUGUUUGGCAUUUCAUGGUUUUUUUUAUUUCCUAAACUUGGGAACUUUUGAUUAUUUUUAUGAAAAUUUAAUUAUUAUUGUUAAUAUAAUAGAAGUGAUUUUAUUAUGGGUAUUCUAUUGAUUAUAUAUAGUGCACAUCGAUGUAAAAUGUUGAUAAAAUUGAUUUUAAAUUUAUUGUUAUUUUAUUCAGUAUUCGUGGUCAAACAGCGGAAAUAUAAUUUUCGAUCAAGAUUUCAAUAAAAUGCAUUCGCAUUUUAUUAUAUAUUUUUGAUUAUCUUAUUCGAUCACGCGCCUAAUGCUAUAAUUUAUAGGUGUAUUGUAUUAUUUUAAAAUUUGCCAUUUUUUUAACCGCAUAAUAUACAAUCAGACAUAUUAUUCUUUUAUACGCAUACAAUUAAAGAACUGUUUUCAUAUGCCAUUUUUCAUAUUUUAAUUCGUAAUGACAACGAUCACAUUCCGAAAUAAAAACUACUUUGGAUUGUGUUUCAUACGAAAAAAAUGCAACCAUUAGAAUUAUUAUAAUUUCGUAACUAUAACACUACACAAAAUACAGACGAGAUAUUAUGUUUUAAUUUGAAUAUGAAUUGUUAUGAAGUUCAAAAUAUUAUAAUGUCUUCGUUUUUUUUCGGCUUUUUCUCGUUAAAGGCCGUGUCUUGUUGCUGCAAAUCUGAAUCUGCAUUCUUCUCUGUUAUCCAUAGUCAAUCAACCGAUUCCCAAAGUAUGCUUAUUUCAAAAAUUCCUCCCUGCGUGUGUUUUUUAUGUUUUAUCAUGUUUUAUCAAGUUAAUAUUACAGUAAUAGUACAGACGAACCGCAAACAUAAUAUUGUUUACCAGAUUUUUAAAUUUUAUUCCAACUAAAGUUGUUAUAAAACUUAAUAUAUAGUUUAAAACAUAAAAAAAAAUGAAUUAUGAUAAAAGUAUAAUAAUAUGGUAUUGUUCAUCUCGAUCCAUCUAUUUAUGUACACAACGGACAUUUCGGAAGUAUAAUAAUAUACGAAACGUGUUAAAUACAUGUAAGAAAAAGUUUGUUUCAAUUUUGAAACUCGUAUGAAUAAUAAAAAUUAACUAGUUCAUUGCGUUACAUAUUAUACUUACAUAAGUAGUGCACGUAACUCUUAAAAAUUAAUAUUAUAAAAUAUUUAAAUAGCUAUUUACCGAUAAUACGCGCAUGAACACGAGACAAUUAAUUAUUACGAGAAUAAAGUAUAAGAGAAUGAUACCUAGUAUUAAAACUUCACGACAGUUUAUUUUAUGUAUUAAUAUAACGUAAUAAUUACCUACCGAUUUACCUAUCUGCGUUUAAAAAUAAGAAAAUUAAAAAAAUAAUCUCGUUUUCCUCAUUACGAUAAAGUCCGUAUUUUAUGUCGUGACCAAAAUACAUUAAAAUAUUACAUAAUUUAAAAUGAAAAUUAAAAUUUUUCAGUUGGGUAGUUAAAAAAUAACGAUCAAAACUAGGCAGGUACUUAUGCAUCUACUAUUUUUAUCGAUCAAUUCGAUUAUUGUAAUUUGUUUUAUUUUAUUUUUUUGGAAUUGCGCGUGAUAUUUUUUUAUUUCACCGUCGUAUCAAAUACGUGUAUACGUAGGUAGACGCACUGCAUCAGGAUAUAAUUAAUCGUUUAGGUCAAGCAAUUUAAUUUUAGAUUACAUCGUGAAAGUCAAUACCUACACGUAUAAUUAUUAUACGAGCGAAACACCCAAAAACCGGGUACCUUUGACCGUACCUAUAUUAUAUAAUAUAGUGGGUACCAAUUACGAUCAAAUGGUCACGGCAUUUUUGGAUAAAUUAAGGGUCUAUAUAAUAUUACAAAUACAUAAUAUUUACAUAUUAUUUUUACGCGUAUAAACCUAAUAUAUAAGUGUAUUGAAGUUUUAACAGAAAAAUAAUAACAAUAACAAUAAUAACAAUAAUUGAACAUUUUUAUAGAAUUGACCAUAUUAUAGAAACUUUUUUUUUUUUUGUUGUUAUUGCAAUGACACAGGUAGGUUAUAUUAUUAAAUAAAUACCUACAAUUUUUUUUUUUGUUAGCCACGCACGCAAUAACUGCAGCAUUACUAGCAAACAACAUUUCUCGAACAUAACUACGUAUUAAACAAAAAUAUGUAUCAGUCACGAAUUUAAUACAAAUAAAUAUAUACAUAUUAGUGUUAUAGUUAAAUAAUGUAGACAAUAUAUUAAUAUAGGUUAUAUAUAUAUUUCACGAUUUGGUUUGAAAUUUUUUUUUGUUUUGAGUUUAGUUAAAUAGUUAGGGAACCAAAAUUGUAUUUUUAUAUUAAGUACAUUGUUUCUUACCGUGAAAAUCAGAUUCUUUAUGAUAAUUUUAAGCGAACCUACAACGAAAAAUUUUGAUGAAUUUAAUUUUGGGGAUUUCGGUUUUUAAGUAUUCAUAAAUAAUCUUAUAUAUUUAUAAUAUUUUUAAAAUUUUACUCUUAUUCCGAAUUGAAAUGAACUUUUAAUUUCCAUAUGAAAAACCAUAAUUGAAGGUCGGUUAAACAUUUCGUAAACAUUUUUAAAUGCUAAUCCUCACCAAUUGAGGUAUAUUCUCUACUUCUCCAGUUUAAUUUUAAAAUCUGAUCGUAGUGUGAAAAAUUUAACGGUUUUAACAUGUGCUUCCUUUUUUUUUUUUGGUCUGAACCUAAAUAACCAUUCUAUACUAGGAAAUUUGUUAAGAUUAGCUAUUUAUUUCUCAUGGAAUUUUCUUUUAAUCAGGAAUCCCCGUAGAAUGUAUGCAUUAAAAAUUUCCGUUUUUUUUUCUAUUAUUGUUCUUUUUAUUUUGAAUUCAGUUAAAAGUAAUCGUAGAGACAUUUCAUUUUAAAAAAAUUCUUUUAUUUUUAAUUCCUAAAAGUAAUAUGUAUUUUUGAAAUAUUUGAGCUAUUUAUAAAUAUUAGAAAAGUUCGAUUUUUUUUAUUUUAAUUUUUAAUUAGUUUUAUGAGAAUAAAACUGUUUUGGCUCAAUAAAAGUACUCAGAAAUUGGACACGAGUAAAUUAAAGUUAUGAAUAACUAUGUUGAUAUGAUGUAUAUUUAUGGUGGUCGAAUUAUGUGUAACAUUCUAAAAAUAUUGUCAAUAAAAUAUAAAUUUGUAUUUUAUUAAAAAUUUGCAAUUUAGAUAAACGAAAGGAUCAUGAUAAAAUCAUAAUAUCAUGUAUAAGUUUAAAAAUUAAAUACAAAUUAACAAUUAACAUUUAAUUACAGUUUUAAAUAUUUUGCAAUUUCGUAUGAUUAAUUGUCAUUUUAAACUCUAGAGUAAACUAGCGUUUCGUAUUAGUGGCAUAUUAUUUAAGCGUUUGUCGUAAAAUGAAUUAUUGCGUGUUUAAGAAUGAAAGGUACGUUGCAAAAUAAAAUUUAAUUAAACUUUAUUAAUAAAUAUAAUUUAGACAAUGAUUGAACAACGACUUAAAAAACGACGUAUUUUAAUCAUAAAAAGUGCAUUGGCACUAGAAAUCGGUUAAAAAAAUGUUGUUUGGUAUAUUAGUAAUUUAUAAUUAGAAAACUUUUGAAAUGUCACUAAAAUUUUUUAUAAGAUAUGAAGUUGUAUAUUAUAUUAUAUUAUAGUAUAAUAUAUAGUUAAACUAAAAUUCCAUAUGAGCUUUAGGUACAUACCGUAAUAAAUAAAAUGUAAUGUAACUCGUAAUUGGUAAAAUGGUUUUUUUUUUUAGACGAGAUUUUAACAGUAGAAAUUACAAUGUAAUUGACCAUUAUAACACAUUUUUUUAUAAUUUGAAAUAUUUUUAUUAUUAUAUUUCCUUAAGCAAAAUCAUAAUAGUAGUAAUAUAAUUUUCCGGGUAUUUUUGAUGAUUUUUUUCUUUGAAAAUUCGUUUAGCUAUAUUUUAUUCUGUUUUAAUAAUAUGAAAUUUUCAGCUUAUGUUUUGAAAAAAUAAAUUCCAAAGUGCACAGUUAAUAUUAUUAUAACAAACUGCUCGCUAACAACCACAGAGAUUAUUGCUUGAAAACCCUAUACGCGUCCUUUUACCCUAAUCAACGAACUUUGGAAAAAUGCCAAUUUAUCUUGGAACAUUAUCCCAUAUUCGGACUUACUCUUUAAUAAACGCCGGUACUGGUGGCAGUGGUAUUAUGAUUAAAUCGUAAUUUUUAUCAGAGCAGUUACAGGAAAUUAUUUUUUUUAAACGACAUCGAUAUUUUAUUAAAUUAUUAUAAUUGUUGUUGCAUGUAUAAGUUCAUGAAAAAUGUUAAAGUUUUCAUAAAAUUAAAAUGAUGUUAAAUUUAUAGUGAAAAAAAACAUGUAUCUUAUAAAAUCAUUCUGGCUAAAUUAUAUGAAUCUGACCCAAUAAACGAAUAAUUAAUCAUAGAAAUAAUUUUCUAAGACUACAAUUAUUACAAUUUUUUCUUAUUAUUUAUAUUUCCCGUUUUAUCAUUGUUAAAAAAUGUAUAUUGUAAAAUUACAAAUAAUAUAUAAUACAUGAAAUAUAAAAUACAAUUCCUGUUAAAGAGUAUUUAUAUUAUAAUUUACGAUAUUUUAUCGUGACAAUAAUAUGCAUGAAUACGAAAACUUAAAAAAAAAAAUGUUUUUUUGAGUACCAACCAUUAUUUCAGUAGGUAAACUUGGGCUAGUAUUUACAAGACACUUGUAGUAUUUAAGGUAGAUACUGUCGGUGUAUUUUGAUUUCCUCCAAGUUCAUUAGACAAUUUCUCUCUCUCUCUCUCUCUCUCUUUCUCUGUCUCACUCAUUCCUCGCCAUAUCUCGUUAGUGCUAACCUCAAGAAGACCUUAUACACCAAAGAUAACAAUAAACCGAUUUUAUAUUCUCGCAAUUUAGCUUCGCCGCCGCCGUAAAUUGGUCGCUUGUUUAACGUUCGGACGAGCACAAGACAACUUUGAAUUAAUGAGCCGACCUUUUGGUGGCAUCGCAAAGCCGAGGCGGCGGCGUCGAGACAACACGGCGAAGGAGACCCUGCUUUCAACGAAGAGAAGGUUAAAAUACCCGAAAACUGUUCGGGUGGGAAAACGUUUGUAGGGGACCAACGUUAAUCGAGAUUAAUGAUCGUACGAAAUUGGAGGACCUCAUUCUAGGUUAGAUUAUAUUAUAACAUUGUUCUUCUGUUUUAUAGUUUACUUAUGUAUACUGUAAUAUAUGAUAGUAAUAUAUCGAUAACUUUGAUAUUUUUAUAUUUUUACGGCCAGCUAUAAUAAUUUUUCGAAACGAACAUAAUAUUGAACGAAAACAAAAUAAAAACAUGUCCAAUAAUGAUUCCCUAUCAUUUCUUAAAAUAAAUGUUUUUUUUUUUUUGGUUCUUAUUCCGUGUGGUACAAAGUAAUCCAUUAAUCAACAAUUAAUACAAUGUUUUAUUUUAAAAAUACCACAAGUUAUAUAUCUCACCAGUGGAGUAUUCAAGAUUACUCAAUGUGAAAAAGGGGAGGGGCAGAACAGAAAAUUUCAAAUAUUUUGUACAUUGUAUUUGCACCUCUCAUACAUAAUUUUUAUAGUGUCAUAAAAACACUUUAGGAUGAAUCCUGUAUACAAUUUGAGUUUUUUUUUAUUUGUUUUGCGUAAAUGAAAUUCUGGAUAUGUAUAACUUCCAAGUAUAAAGAUGACUAUAAGAAAUAAAAUGCACCUCUCAUUUUACCAACUUGAAAAUAUUUUUUUUAAAAAAGCUCUUUUGUCAGUUAUCAAGCGAAGCGAGCUUUUUAAUAAAACAAUUUGUUAACAGGCGAAAAAAAAUACGUCAUAGUAUAACCAUUACAUUCCACGCAAUGCUCAAAAUCUAAAAAUACAUAAAAUUCAUUAAAAAGAUAAAUUUAUUAUUUUAAAAAUACGUUCAUUGGGCGUGCCCCUUCUUUUGACAAUGUUGUGAGCCAUACUUAAUAGAUUAAAUUUAGAAAAUCUGGUCUGGAAUGCACACUGAUUCGUUCAUUCGUUUCUGUAUGUGAAUGUUUAGAUCACUGGAUGCGAUAAAUUCGGCUGUAGUGAAACGCGCACAAACAGAUGACAAGCAGACAGACAUGUUUUACUUUUAUUAAUAUAGAAUAUAUAAAAAUUAAAAAAUUAAAUAAAACCAUUUUAAAAAUUACAUCAGAGAUUGUUUAAUUUUUUCCAACAGGUGGACAUUUUUUUAUAAAAGUACUUACCACUGCACGAUGAGACGGAGGAAAGAAGAUUAUUGAAAAAGAAACUACGACAAGGGAAAAAUAUUAUUUCGAAGGUAAGUGCUCGUGUGUAUAAAAACUAUUUUUUGAGAUAGGUAUAAAUCCUUUAACCCGAAUCGUCGUACAGUCUUUGAUACCGUUUAUAUUAUCGUUUGUAAAGAGGGGAGUAAAUACGGUCUCUAAAAAGUCAUCCCAGUUGGAUUAUAUUGUGCUCUUUGACAUUUUUGUUUUUUUGUU